AGAUCCCUCGUGAGGACGGAAUCUAGAGGUGGAGGCGAAGGCAGAAAUGGCCGGUUCUCAGGGACUGCUGACCUUCAGGGAUGUGGCCAUAGAAUACUCCAAGGAUGAGUGGGGAUGCCUGACCUCCCACAGUGACAACUGUAUGGGGAUGUGAUGUUGGAGAGCUACGGACACCUCCUCUUCUUGGGUGUCCUUCUGUCAAAACCAGACCUGAUAAUGUUUUUGGAGCAAGAGAAGCAGCUCUGGGAUGGGAACAGAAAGGAGACUGGAAGCUUCCCUUCAGGAACCACAACCGUUCUUUUCUGCCUGUGGAGAGAGUGUCAUCAGAAAAUGCUUCAUUGAGAUUAGACAGAUGGAAAGCUGAUCCGUGACAAAGGAUGGAGGAGGGGUUGGAUGAUGCAAUCAUGUGGGCAACGUUAAGCUGUCCCACGGUAGAAUGGAUGUUUGAGAUGAAGAAGCCUUCUGGGCAGUGGAAUAGGCCAGAUCAGCAAGGCAUGUGCUGUGGUUGCUCCCUCAUUUCCCAGAAAUCCCAGCCAUGUGCUACAUCAAUAAUUGCACCAUAAAUCAUCAUAGAAGUUCUUCCUGAUCACUGUGCUGAAGGAUCCGACAAUUUUGUUAUCCAGAAACCCAAGCUGGCUGCCAUUUCUUUGAAAAGCCAAUGCAUAGGGCCAAGAGCUCUGAUGGGAAUGGAAUAUCUGCAUUAUUCAGGAGAUGAGCCAUUUGGAAAGAAGACAGACUCAUGUUCAAAAAUCAACUCCAAGGAUUUUGCCAGUCCUUCAGAGUUUUUAAAGGAGCUUGAGGACAGUGAAUCAAUAGGAGGGACACAGGGAAGUCUGACACAGUUCAUGAUUGCCUGUGGACUUACUGUGCCUCCUACAGACAUUACAGAGGUGCUUGGAGGUUGCAAAUGGGUCCCCAGGGGUGUUUGUGCCAGAAGGUGGGAUUACCAGUCCUUGGAAACAAUGUGUGGUGUUUAGAUGUACAAAGAAGGGUUUAGUCCAUCAUUCAUGGAAAGGUGCAUGCAGAAAUUUAAGGACUAUUAAGUUGGCCCAAGAGGCCAAGGUGAGGUUUCAUGUUAAGUUUUGAAAACUGUCUUCCAUGGGUACCUGGGUGGCUCAGUGGGUUAAGCCUCUGCCUUUGGCUCAGGUGGUGAUCCCAGGGUCCUGGGAUCAAGCCCUGCAUCAGGCUCUCUGCUCAGCAGGGAGCCUGCUUCUCUUUGUGCCUCUCUGCCUACCUGUGAUUUCUGUCUGUCAAAUAAAUAAAAUCUUUUUAUAAAAUGAGUGAUUUCCCCCCUACUUUAUCUAUUGUCCUCAUUUCUCU